rnacentral:rRNA from 1 species
AUUGAACGCUGGCGGCAUGCCUUACACAUGCAAGUCGAACGGCAGCACGGGAGCAAUCCUGGUGGCGAGUGGCGAACGGGUGAGUAAUAUAUCGGAACGUGCCCAGUCGUGGGGAUGACGUAGCGAAAGCUACGCUAAUACCGCAUACGAUCUAUGGAUGAAAGCGGGGGAUCGCAAGACCUCGCGCGAUUGGAGCGGCCGAUAUCAGAUUAGGUAGUUGGUGAGGUAAAGGCUCACCAAGCCGACGAUCUGUAGCUGGUCUGAGAGGACGACCAGCCACACUGGGACUGAGACACGGCCCAGACUCCUACGGGAGGCAGCAGUGGGGAAUUUUGGACAAUGGGCGCAAGCCUGAUCCAGCAAUGCCGCGUAGCAGGAUGAAGGCCU